GAUGAACGCUGGCGGCGUGCCUAAUACAUGCAAGUCGAGCGAACUGACUAGUAGCUUGCUUCUCUGACGUUAGCUGCGGACGUGUGAGUAACACGUGGAUAACCUACCUAUAAGACUGGGAUCACUUCGGGAAACCGGAGCUAAUACCGGAUAAUAUAUUGAACCGCAUGGUUCAAUAGUGAAAGACGGUUUUGCUGUCACUUAUAGAUGGAUCCGCGCCGCAUUAGCUAGUUGGUAAGGUAACGGCUUACCAAGGCGACGAUGCGUAGCCGACCUGAGAGGGUGAUCGGCCACACUGGAACUGAGGCACGGUCCAGACUCCUACGGGAGGCAGCAGUAGGAAAUCUUCCGCAAUGGGGGAAAGCCUGACGGAGCAACGUCGCGUAAGUGAUGAAGGUCUUCGGAUCGUAAAACGCUGUUAUUAGGGAAGAACAAAAGUGUAAGUAACUAUGAACGUCUUGACGGUACCUAAUCAGAAAGCCACGGCUAACUACGUG
rnacentral:rRNA from 1 species